CAACAGUAAAGAGGCGACUCCGGGAUACUGGCCUUCUAGGCAGGGUUGCAAAGAAAAAGACAUAUCUCAGACUGGCCAAUAAAAAGAAAAGAUUAAGAUGCGCAAAAGAACACAGACACUGGACAGAGGAACUCUGCCUAGAAGGCCAGCAUCCCGGAGUCGCCUCUUCACUGUUGAAAUUGAGACUGGUGUUUUGCAGAUCUGCCAAUCUGCUCGGUGGAGUGUUCCAGGCCUGGAGUGGCAUGCUGGAACUUCCAGAGUCUUGUAGAGCUGAAGCAGUGUGAUGUGGUCCAGAGGGAUGAGGACUGAGGAGCCCUGUGAGCAGCCAGUCAAGCCCCCAGGUCUUGCCCCAGCCCAAGACCAGCGCCGGGCCCAGCCCCGGUCCACUCAGCUUUACCUUGCUCUGCGGAGGGGGAACAGCCAGAGAGAGAGAGAGAGAGAGAGAGAGAAAGAAAAAGAAAAUGUGGCGAAUCGCAUCUCUGCAUGUCUGGCAGACAUAUCAGUGUGGAUUUCGAAUCACCACCUCAAGCUGAACCUCGGCAAGACGGAGCUGCUCUUCCUCCCGGAGAAGGACUGCCCGUUCCAUGAUCUCGCCAUCACGGUUGACAACUCCAUUGUGUCCUCCUCCCAGAGUGCUAAGAGCCUUGGCGUGACCCUGGACAACACCCUGUCGUUCUCCGCUAAAAUCAAGGCGGUGACCUGAUCCUGUAGGUUCAUGCUCUACAACAUUCGCAGAGUACGACCCUGCCU
rnacentral:lncRNA from 1 species